rnacentral:rRNA from 1 species
UACGUAAGGGCGAGCGUUAUCCGGAAUCACUGGGCGUAAAGGGUGCGUAGGCGGCCAAAUAAGCCAGGGGUGAAAGGCUACGGCUCAACCGUAGUAAGCCUUUGGAACUGUAUGGCUUGAGUGCAGGAGAGGAGAGUGGAAUUCCUAGUGUAGCGGUGAAAUGCGUAGAUAUUAGGAGGAACACCAGUGGCGAAGGCGACUCUCUGGACUGUAACUGACGCUGAGGCACGAAAGCGUGGGGAGCAAACAGG